UUUAAAAGACUUGACGGUACUUCACACCAACCUAGAGGAGCCUGUCUAUUAACCGAUAACCCACGAUUAACCCAACCCUUUCUAGCCCAACAGUCUAUAUACCGCCGUCGCCAGCUUACCUUGUGAAAGAAACAAAGUAAGCCCAAUAAUAUCACAUUAAUACGACAGGUCGAGGUGUAACCAAUGAAAGGGGCCAAGAUGGGCUACAUUUUCUAACCCAGAAAAGCCAACACGAAUAAACUAUGAAACUAGAAACUGAAGGUGGAUUUAGCAGUAAACUAAGAAUAGAAUA
rnacentral:rRNA from 1 species